rnacentral:lncRNA from 1 species
UAGAUGUUGUAGCAGCAUCCAUCAGUAGACGUUUUCCCUCGUCAUCCUCAUCAUAACAACAUCCAUCAGUAAAUGUCAUUAUCUGAGUCCUCCUAGCAUCCAUCAGUAGAUGCUAUCAUUACUACCAUCAGAAGCAGCAUAUAACCUAAAAAAAAAAACUUAAAAACACAAAGAAAAAUCAAAACCAAACCACAAAAAGAAAAAAAAAAUCAGAAACUAGGUUGCCUCCCAACAAGCGCUCUUUUAACAUCACUAGCUUGACCCGGUAAAGUUCAAACACCCAUCAGUAAGUGUUGAC